CCGGCUUGAGUGCGNUAGGGGAGACUGGAACUCCUGGUGUAGCGGUGGAAUGCGCAGAUAUCAGGAAGAACACCGGUGGCGAAGGCGGGUCUCUGGGCCGUUACUGACGCUGAGGAGCGAAAGCGUGGGGAGCGAACAGGAUUAGAUACCCUGGUAGUCCACGCCGUAAACGUUGGGCACUAGGUGUGGGGGGCCUUUUCCGGGUCUUCCGCGCCGUAGCUAACGCAUUAAGUGCCCCGCCUGGGGAGUACGGCCGCAAGGCUAAAACUCAAAGGAAUUGACGGGGGCCCGCACAAGCGGCGGAGCAUGCGGAUUAAUUCGAUGCAACGCGAAGAACCUUACCAAGGCUUGACAUGUGCCGGUCUGCUCCGGAGACGGGGUUUCCUCCCUUGUGGGGGCUGGUUCACAGGUGGUGCAUGGUUGUCGUCAGCUCGUGUCGUGAGAUGUUGGGUUAAGUCCCGCAACGAGCGCAACCCUUGUCUCGUGUUGCCAGCACGUUGUGGUGGGGACUCGCGGGAGACUGCCGGGGUCAACUCGGAGGAAGGUGGGGAUGACGUCAAAUCAUCAUGCCCCUUAUGUCUUGGGCUUCACGCAUGCUACAAUGGCCGGUACAGAGGGCUGCGAUACCGUGAGGUGGAGCGAAUCCCUUAAAGCCGGUCUCAGUUCGGAUCGGUGUCUGCAACUCGACACCGUGAAGUUGGAGUCGCUAGUAAUCGCAGAUCAGCAACGCUGCGGUGAAUACGUUCUCGGGCCUUGUACACACCGCCCGUCACGUCAUGAAAGUCGGCAACACCCGAAGCCCGUGGCCC
rnacentral:rRNA from 1 species